rnacentral:rRNA from 1 species
AUCCUCCUACGGGACGCAGCAGUGGGGAAUAUUGCGCAAUGGGCGAAAGCCUGACGCAGCGACGCCGCGUGAGGGAUGAAGGUGUUCGGAUCGUAAAUCUCUGUCAGCAGGGAAGAACGGUCACUGUGCUAAUCAGCAGUGAAUUGGCGGUACCUGCAAAGGAAGCACCGGCUAACUCCGUGCCAGCAGCCGCGGUAAUACGGGGGGUGCGUGCGUUAAUCGGAAUUACUGGGCGUAAAGCGCUCGUAGGCGGUAUGUCCAGUCAAGGGGGAAAUCCCCGCGCUCAACGUGGGAAUU